rnacentral:rRNA from 1 species
UACGGAGGGGGUUAGCGUUGUUCGGAAUUACUGGGCGUAAAGCGCGCGUAGGCGGAUUAGAAAGUUGGGGGUGAAAUCCCGGGGCUCAACCUCGGAACUGCCUCCAAAACUGCUAGUCUAGAGUUCGAGAGAGGUGAGUCGAAUUCCGAGUGUAGAGGUGAAAUUCGUAGAUAUUCGGAGGAACACCAGUGGCGAAGGCGGCUCACUGGCUCGAUACUGACGCUGAGGUGCGAAAGUGUGGGGAGCAAACAGG